GGGAGACCGGGGUUCGAUUCCCCGCCGGGGAGUGGAAGCAUUUCCGGAGAGAGAGAAGACACGGACAGUAUUGGAAGACUUAUGUAGAUCUGUUUGAAAAGGAUAUAGUGUUUCUGGCGAAGAAGUGAUCAAAGGACCUGACUUUUCCUAAAGUAUGGCCAGACUCCGCGAAGUAUCUGGCACCACGGCCCUGGUUUUGGCGGGUCUGACGUUUGCCUUGGGGUUCUACCUGGGUUACAAGGCAAAAGCUUAUCGCCUUCGAUAUCUCCAUAAUAAAAGAGAUCGUCUGAUGAAUAAACUGAACAAAGCAACAGAGGACAUUCAGUAUACAAUGAACAAUAUUUGACAAAUACUCGGUUUAGGUUGUCUGCAAUCUCUUUGAUAUUUUUUAGGUCAUAUAGAUAGGCCUGUAUAUUUAUUGAAAUGUCAGCACAUAGGGAUUAUUGGUAACAGAAUUUAUGCUGAUAUAAUUUAUUGUACAUUUUAUAUGAUAUAUUUUAACAUUUACUUGAAUAUUGUAUAUCAAGUAAUAUACUGUAUAUAAUUGAGAUUAAAAUUUUCUAUAAUAAUCAUAUCCUGUAUCAGCCUGAGACACAUAUAUAUAGAUCACAAAACAGUAGAAUGUGAACCAAAAAUAUAUUGUGUUUUAUCAUAAGUACAGGCAUCAGGAUCACGAAUCAAACUUAAACUUAUAAUUAUUCAAAUUUUUAAUCGCCUAUAAAAUAUUUAUCAAU